AUGUUAUGCAAAAGAAAGGAAGGUUAGUAGUCCCUUUGAUAAGGGUGGAAGAGUUCCUAGUGGCAUUUAUAACACACAUGCAGUCAAUCUAUUACCACCUACUCUGUGGCAUCCAGUUAAUAUUUUUG
rnacentral:ncRNA from 1 species